AUGCGGAGCUGCAGCCUCAGCCUACCUGGCAAAGCCCCAGGCAACUCUGGGAGGUUGCGGCAAGUUAGUCUCCCCAUAGAUGCUGGGACUGAGCCUGGGGAGAGAAGUCGCUUGACAGAUACCAGUUGUCAAAACAGCAUCUGGGGGUCAGAGACAGUGUAGCUGACCCCAAGACCCCAGGGGUGAGGGCCCCUCUCCUGGAAGUGCUGCAGACGCUACUAUGCCCCAUGGUGGAUGCCACUGCGUCCUCUCGCCUCCCAGUGGGCCCACGUUUCUGUGGCUGGUUAUAGGGCCUCUGGCAUAGACACACCUCACAGCCACUCUGCCCUGCAGAGCCCCAGCCCCUGGGGACUCUGAGGCCCCCCCGCAGCCCUCCAGGACCUCCAGCUGUGUGGGGUGGAGAGCCCUCAGGUGUGUGGGCUGGGCCUGGGCUCCGCUGGUGGGUCUAGUGGCCGGUAGCACAGAGCGCACUGUGGAAAUAAACAGCUGCCUGGGCCCCAGAGAGCCACCCACACCCAGAAGGCCUCCUGACACCAGCCUAAGUCCUGACAGCAGGGUCCGUUUUUUGACCUGGGGGUGCAGGGAGCCCCACGUCCCUCAGGGCUGGGUGCUAGGGCCUGUGCUUCUGAAGCUACAGACAGGGGCAGCUGCAGCUGGUACCCAACCUGGUCCUCAGGCCAGGACCUUUCGCACAGAAUGCUGGGUCUCUCCUGUUUUGACCGAGAAGGGGGCGCCUGCCUGGGAUCACACGACAGCAUGUAGCAUAGACAGCUGUUUCCUUCCUCUUUUUCUUUUGGUUGGGGGAGGUGUUUGUUUUUUUUGAGAUUUGAGUUUUCAUUUUUGAUGGGUGAGCAUCACCUUCAAGUAAAACAAUAAUAGCAAGAGUGAAGGUACUUUGGAACCACUAACACCUCUUUUCACCCGGCAGGUAAGCCGGGCCAAGCUCUUUUUCAAAGGGAAGGGGGGCUCGGCCAGCUGGAGGUCUGAGUAGCAGGUCUGGGGAGAGUCUGCCCAUCACAGUGGUGGAGCUGGGUCUUGAACCCAUGUCUGCACCUAAAAUGAUAACGGAAAGGGAUCAUUCCCAAAGGGGCUGGGGACAGCCUGCCUCUGGCAGAGGAGUAACAGCAACACCAUCCCUGCACCUCUGGGUCUUGGUCUUCCAGCGCCCAAAGUGUGGCACGGUGGCAGCUGUUGUCCCCACCCAUCAGCUCACCCCUCCCCCACCAGGGUGGCGCUGGGGCAGAGGUGGGCUCUCAUAACGAGGGCUGUCAGACCACCCAGCUAUGUUGCUCCUCAACACCAGACGCAGUCUUUGGCCAAGAGGGAGAUGCUGCUGGCUGAGCAGCACCCUGGGUUUCAGAGACUGGUGUUGACUUCAGACUGGCCUCAUCUCCAUUGCCUUAAUGCUGGUGGCCCGGGGUGCAGGGAGCUCUGGCACCAAGCCCAGGAGUACCGCACAGAACAGCUGUGGGGCGUGGGCAUCCUCAGGACACAUUCGGGCAAAACCGUGGUGAGAACAGCUGCAUGAAGGGAACCAGUGGGAGGAAGUGAAGCUUUCAGGGUGGCUGGAUGUGAAUGGGGCAGAGCACACGUGCUGGGCGCUGUUGUGGAGAGUGGCCUCCAUGGAGAGGGGUCACAGCACCUCAGUCCUUGGGCCUGGAGGAUGGCUUUUCAGGGCAAGCCACAAGUUAGAGGUCAUCUGUAAGAUUAAUGAAAAGCUGCCUCUUCCCAAGACCUAUCUGCCUGGGGGGUCACGGAGGCAGGGUGUAGGCCACGCUAUGGCAUUCUUGCACAAGUCACGAAAAUGGGACUGGAGAGAGCCUGGAUGUCAGGGACUUUUGCCCACAACAUGUGGCACCCACAGCUGCCCAGCCUGUCCACACGCUGGGGCCCGGCACAGCCUCAGAAGCCAUGAGGGACAGUGGGCUUUGUUCACUCUAGCCACAGGGGGACGAAAGGGAUCUUUUGCAUUGCAGAUAUUUUAUACACAAAUAUAUUUUGUUUGUAAUGAGCCAUUCUCAAUAAACAUUAUUCUCAUUGCAAAAA